rnacentral:rRNA from 1 species
GAUGAACGCUGGCGGCGUGCCUAAUACAUGCAAGUCGAGCGAACGGACGAGAAGCUUGCUUCUCUGAUGUUAGCGGCGGACGGGUGAGUAACACGUGGAUAACCUACCUAUAAGACUGGGAUAACUUCGGGAAACCGGAGCUAAUACCGGAUAAUAUUUUGAACCGCAUGGUUCAAAAGUGAAAGACGGUCUUGCUGUCACUUAUAGAUGGAUCCGCGCUGCAUUAGCUAGUUGGUAAGGUAACGGCUUACCAAGGCAACGAUGCAUAGCCGACCGGAGAGGGUGAUCGGCCACACUGGAACUGGGACACGGUCCAGACUCCUACGGGAGGCAGCAGUAGGGAAUCUUCCGCAAUGGGCGAAAGCCUGACGGAACAACGCCGCGUGAGUGAUGAAGGUCUUCGGAUCGUAAAACUCUGUUAUUAGGGAAGAACAUAUGUGUAAGUAACUGUGCACAUCUUGACGGUACCUAAUCAGAAAGCCACGGCUAACUACGUG